rnacentral:rRNA from 1 species
UGGGGAAUUUUGCACAAUGGGGGAAACCCUGAUGCAGCGACGCCGCGUGAUUUAGAAGGCCUUCGGGUUGUAAAAAUCUUUUCUAUGGGAAUAAAAUGACAGUACCAUAGGAAUAAGGACCGGCUAAUUACGUGCCAGCAGCCGCGGUAAUACGUAAGGUCCGAGCGUUGUCCGGAAUCAUUGGGCGUAAAGGGUACGUAGGCGGGUAAGCAAGUUAGAAGUGAAAUCCUAUAGCUCAACUAUAGUAAGCUUUUAAAACUGCUCAUCUUGAGGUAUGGAAGGGAAAGUGGAAUUCCUAGUGUAGCGGUGAAAUGCGCAGAUAUUAGGAAGAAUACCGGUGGCGAAGGCGACUUUCUGGCCAUAACCUGACGCUGAGGUACGAAAGCGUGGGUAGCAAACAGG